UACGAAGGGGGCUAGCGUUGCUCGGAAUCACUGGGCGUAAAGGGUGCGUAGGCGGGUUUUUAAGUCAGAGGUGAAAUCCUGGAGCUCAACUCCAGAACUGCCUUUGAUACUGAGAAUCUUGAGUACGGGAGAGGUGAGUGGAACUGCGAGUGUAGAGGUGAAAUUCGUAGAUAUUCGCAAGAACACCAGUGGCGAAGGCGGCUCACUGGCCCGUAACUGACGCUGAGGCACGAAAGCCAGGGGAGCAAACGGG
rnacentral:rRNA from 1 species